UACGUAGGGGGCAAGCGUUGUCCGGAUUUAUUGGGCGUAAAGAGCGUGUAGGCGGCCUGGUAGGUCAGCUGUGAAAACUCGAGGCUCAACCUCGAGACGCCGGUUGAAACCAUCAGGCUAGAGUCCGGAAGAGGAGUGUGGAAUUCCUGGUGUAGCGGUGAAAUGCGCAGAUAUCAGGAAGAACACCUAUGGCGAAGGCAGCACUCUGGGACGGUACUGACGCUGAGACGCGAAAGCGUGGGGAGCGAACAGG
rnacentral:rRNA from 1 species